GCAGAGAGCAGGAGGGAAAGGGCACCCGGGCGGAGAGCAGGAGGGUAAGGGAACCCAGGAGAACCGCUCUACCAGCUCUGCAGUCUGGGGUUUUAUGGUGGUGGGAUUAGUUUCCGGGUUGUCUUUAGCCAAUCAUCUGACUCAGAGUCCUUCCUGGUGGUACAUGCCUUGUUCAGCCAAGAUGGAUGCCAGAGAGAAGGAUUCUGGGAGGUGGUCGGACACGUGGUGUCUCCUUUUGACCUUUCCCGAACUCUUCUGGUUGGUGGAAGCUUAUUAGUUCUGUGUUCCUUACGAGGACCUCCUGUCGUGAAACAACUCAUGCAAAUGGUUACUAUGAUGCCUGGCCAGGAUGGGUGGUUUCAAUCAGUGUGCUUCCCCUAACAGAUAUAGUUCUUAUCUGGGAGUUUCCCAGGUGGCUCUAGUGGUAAAGAACCUGCCUGCCAAUGCAGGAGACAUAAGAGAUGCAGAUUUGAUCCCUGGGUUGAG
ensembl:lncRNA